AUAAUGAUACGUCUGUCCGAAUGCGAGGCAGCCCGGUGAGACCCACGGGGAGGUGCGAUUCCUAUGA
rnacentral:ncRNA from 2 species